rnacentral:rRNA from 2 species
UACGUAGGUGGCGAGCGUUAUCCGGAUUUAUUGGGUUUAAAGGGUGCGUAGGCGGCUUAAUAAGUCAGUGGUUAAAGGUAGCAGCUUAACUGUUUUACAUGCCACUGAUACUGUUGAGCUUGAGUUGACAGAAGGCAGAUAGAAUUUCUGGUGUAGCGGUGAAAUGCUUAGAUACCAGAAGGAAUACCGAUUGCGAAGGCAGUCUGCUGCAGUCACACUGACGCUGAGGCACGAAGGUGCGGGGAUCAAACAGG